rnacentral:rRNA from 1 species
UACGGAGGGUGCGAGCGUUGUCCGGAAUCAUUGGGCGUAAAGGGCGCGUAGGUGGCGCGGUAAGCGUGCGGUGAAAGCCUGGGGCUCAACCCCGGGUCGGCCGUGCGAACUGCUGGGCUUGAGCACUGUAGAGGCAGGCGGAAUUCCGGGUGUAGCGGUGGAAUGCGUAGAGAUCCGGAAGAACACCGGUGGCGAAGGCGGCCUGCUGGGCAGUUGCUGACACUGAGGCGCGAAAGCGUGGGGAGCAAACAGG